GACGAACGCUGGCGGCGUGCUUAACACAUGCAAGUCGAACGGUGAAGGGACCGGUUUUUGCUGGUUCUGGAUGAGUGGCGAACGGGUGAGUAACACGUGAGUAACCUGCCCCCUUCUUCUGGAUAACCGCAUGAAAGUGUGGCUAAUACGGGAUAUUCUGCGCCUGCUGCAUGGUGGGUGUGGGAAAGAUAUUGUUUCGGUGGGGGAUGGGCUCGCGGCCUAUCAGCUUGUUGGUGGGGUGAUGGCCUACCAAGGCGGUGACGGGUAGCCGGCCCGAGAGGGUGGACGGUCACACUGGGACUGAGACACGGCCCAGACUCCUACGGGAGGCAGCAGUGGGGAAUAUUGCACAAUGGGCGCAAGCCUGAUGCAGCGACGCCGCGUGAGGGAUGGAGGCCUUCGGGUUGUAAACCUCUUUCGCCAGUGAAGCAGGCCUGUCCCUUUUGUGGGUGGGUUGACGGUAGCUGGAUAAGAAGCGCCGGCUAACUACGUG
rnacentral:rRNA from 1 species